GGGCCUAUAGUUCAGUGGUAGAAUUCUCCUCUCCAAAAGGAGCGACCGGGGUUCGAAUCCUCGUGGGCCCG
rnacentral:tRNA from 1 species